CCUACGGGUGGCAGCAGUGAGGAAUAUUGGUCAAUGGGCGCGAGCCUGAACCAGCCAAGUAGCGUGAAGGAUGACUGCCCUACGGGUUGUAAACUUCUUUUAUAAAGGGAUAAAGUGAGGCACGUGUGCCUUUUUGUAUGUACUUUAUGAAUAAGGAUCGGCUCACCCCGUGCCAGCAGCCGCGGUACUACGGAGGAUCCGAGCGUUAUCCGGAUUUAUUGGGUUUAAAGGGAGCGUAGAUGGGUUGUUAAGUCAGUUGUGAAAGCUUGCGGCUCAACCGUAAAAUUGCAAUUGAUACUGGCAGUCUUGAGUACAGUAGAGGUAGGCGGAAUUCGAGGUGUAGCGGUGAAAUGCUUAGAUAUCACGAAGAACUCCGAUUGCGAAGGCAGCUUACUAAACGGCCACUGACAUUGAUGCUCGAAAGUGUGGGUAUCAAACAGGAUUAGAUACCCGAGUAGUC
rnacentral:rRNA from 1 species